rnacentral:ncRNA from 1 species
UUGCCUCCAUUUUGGAAUUUGCAACUUUUUGUGUAUAACGUUAUUUUACUUAUUCCGUAAACGGAGGCGGGACAAUGCCCCUUUUUUUAGAACUAAGGUCCGCGAAUGCGGGCCGAUCCGGGCGGAAGACAUUGUCAGGUGAGGAGUUUGGCUGGGGCGGCACAUAUGUUAAAAGAUAACGCAGGUAUCCUAAGAUGAGCUCAAUGAGAACAGAAAUCUCGUGUAGAACAAAAGGGUAAGCUCGUUUGAUUCUGAUUUCCAAUAUGAAUACGAACCGUGAAAGCGUGGCCUAUCGAUCCUUGUUAUAACUUCUUGUAACCAAAAA